GGCCAACCAGCCCAAGGAACAUCUCACCAAUUUUAUAUCCGGUACCCACUGGAAAUUGGACUCUCCAACUCACCCGGCAGCCACUCCCAGAGCCACUGGAACUCUGGCCCAACGCUCUCUGACUGACUCCUUCCCAGAUCAUCUCAGCUUAGCGGCUGAAGAUUGAUGCUGCCCAAUCACCUCAGAAGCUUCCUGGACCAUCACAUACGCUUUGGGUAACUCUUACAGUGGAGGGGUAAGGGAUGUGCUUCAGGUGCAAAGAAUUUCAUUGACUGGAAUACUGUUAGAGUCAUAUUAUCAUCAUCAGUUUAUGCAUGGCCCACUUUGUAUCAUUUUAUUUCUAUUUUUAUUUAUUUUUACUUUAUUUAUUUCCCUCUUUAUCACCCUUCCCAAUCCCAUCUCCUUUCAUGAUGGAU
rnacentral:lncRNA from 1 species